rnacentral:rRNA from 1 species
UACGUAGGGGGCAAGCGUUGUCCGGAAUCAUUGGGCGUAAAGAGCGUGUAGGCGGCCUGGUAAGUCCGCUGUGAAAGUCCAGGGCUCAACCCUGGGAUGCCGGUGGAUACUGUCGGGCUAGAGUGCGGAAGAGGCGAGUGGAAUUCCUGGUGUAGCGGUGAAAUGCGCAGAUAUCAGGAGGAACACCAAUGGCGAAGGCAGCAGAUUGGGCCGGUAUUGACGCUCAGGCACGAAAGCAUGGGGAUCAAACAGG